CUCAAAUUUAACUCUAACCUCUUCCAGAUCCAUCUAUCGUCGUCUUCUUUUUAGCUGUGUUCUUUUUACCUUCUUCUACGGAACAAAGAGGAAAGAGAGAGUUGUCAAAGAAAUUUCUCCCAAUACUCAGAAAUUUAAACCUCAACCUCUUUCAGAUCCAUCUAUCGUCAUAUCUUUUUAGGAAUGUCAACAGGCAAUAACGAUGCGUUCCAAAAGCCUGAAAAUAUCAAGCAACAACAACGUAUACACAGAAAUAUGCUACAUUGUACUAGAUAUUCACAAAUGUCGCUUGAAAGAAAACAAUUAUUUCUAUCACAAUAACAAGCUAAAAGAGCUGAAUCAAAAAGGCAGUGCCUCUUGCAACAUUCACACAACACGAUAUCUCAUCACAAGUCGUCAAUGAAGAAGGAAACGAAAAUAUGCUUACAAUUUCUCACCCUUCACUAGCUACAGACAGAGGACAUGCUUCUGCGAGUAUCGACACUUCUGGUUGUUUCUCUACAUUUGAAAUAGGUAAGUCAGAGCAAAUUGAAUAACUACAACUAAUAACAUAAGUUCGAUGUUUAUAAAUAUAGCACUUUGCAAUAUUAGGAUCAACAUCACACAUAUAUA